rnacentral:rRNA from 1 species
AUACGGAGGGUGCAAACGUUGUUCGGAAUUACUGGGCGUAAAGCGCGCGUAGGCGGUUUGUUAAGUCAGAUGUGAAAGCCCAAGGCUCAACCUUGGACGUGCAUUUGAAACUGGCAGACUUGAGUACUGGAGGGGAUGGUGGAAUUCCCGGUGUAGAGGUGAAAUUCGUAGAUAUCGGGAGGAAUACCGGUGGCGAAGGCGACCAUCUGGCCAGAUACUGACGCUGAGGUGCGAAAGCAUGGGGAGCAAACAGGAUUAGAUACCCUAGUAGUCC